GGCAGGUGCAACUUCAAUUGCUGCUGCCAACGUGUGAUGGAGAGGCACUCGAGGGGAUCAUCCUCCUCCGCUACCAUGGAGCCCACUACCAGGUGCAUUAUUCCACAGGGGAGGCCCAGUGCUACCUCUGCCAGGAGAUGGGACAUGUCUGGAGGGACUGCCCCUUGGCCCAGCAUAGAGGAUGUAAAGAAACAAUGUUCCAGGGGAGUCAGAAGGGUCUAAUGAUUAUGGCACUGGACUAAGAAUCAGGAGAACUGGAUUCUAUUUCUGCCUUGCUGGGUUGUUAAACCCUGGGAACUGCUGAAAGCAAAUUUAAUCGGACUAUAUCCAGUACCACAGAAGUGAUACCAGUUAGUACUGACAGCUACAGAUGAUUUUUAAAAAGCGGUAGAAGAAUUUCCACUUAGAACUAUGACAGCACAAGAGGUGAAGAAGAAGACACGUAAAAUUAUAUAACAUCAUGGCUGUGCAGAGCAGACACUGGCAGAUCUAGGUUCUGAAUUGAAUAAUGAGGUAACAGUUUACAUUUUCACUGUAUGGUCAAUUACACAAUCAUGGCCGUGUGACAGGGCUGUUAGCAGCUACAGACUGAGCCCUUUGGAAGGCACCCUGGUCACUGAGAACACCCAGGGCACCAGGUGCACUUAGAGGAGGAGGGACUGAGCAGUUUCAGCUUGGAAGGGUAGAGGGGAUCACUUGCACGUGUAGGGAGCCUGAUGAGGUCACUAGCUCACAGCUGAGAAGAAAGCAGCAGUAUAAAAUUCUCAGUUGGAGCAGGAAGCGGCUCCUUUUAACUGCUGCUAUGUUGUGAUGAACCAUAAAAAGUCAUAAAGACACUUGGUGGAAGUUCCCUGGCAGACUGCAGGCUGCUUCAUUCACAGAGAGCUCUGCCAGCCAGGGUUGCAGGAACUGAUGGGGGAGCCCAUUCAGAGUUAGAAAUUUAAAAAGGAACAUUGCCUGCAAUCUCUUAUGACACUUCAUGCUGUAAAUUGUGAGGGACAACACAUUUUUGUGUCUUGUCAUAUAGUAAAAACCAUGUUAUAUAUUAACCUAUUUGCCAGCAUAUUUCCCCAUGUAAUAACACAACAAAAUUGGAUUUGGGAACACAGUAUUACACAUAAUUCAGUGAGAACUAGGGAAAGGAACGCAGAUAUUUCUGAAGGAAAUUUUAUGGAAAAAUGAUCUAUUUUUAGAUUAAAAUUUCCCUAUGUUAAAAAUUAAGAAACACACAAUGUUUCAGGAGCCCAUGCCACCUAGACACCAGUAGACUGAAUCAAAAGCACAAAUGGCUCCAUUAAAAGAUAAUUUUAGGGUAUUUAUUUUCAAAUAAUCAAGGUACGUUUAGGGCACUCUGCCAUGGAUGGCAUAUUGUGAAUAAAUCUUCAAACCUGAAUAAUUACAUUGAAAAUGUUCAUAAUGCAUCAAGUUUAAAACAAAAAGGAGUCCUAGCAAUGCCAUGUGAUGUGCCUCCCCUCAGACUCUGCUCAGCUAGAUCUUCAAGAAAUUAGGUAAACAGCUAAUUUCAUAGAAUUCGAUCAAUCAGUCACUAUUUUUACAGAGCUUUAGAGAAAGUGGUGGACAAAACCCAGAGGAAUUGUGAUGAAUUUCCUGGAGAAACUUUCUUUUCUUUGUACUCUAAACUUCACAUGACAACAAAAAUAUCCCCCUUUUGACUGAUCUAGGGCCAAGAAGAAAGGGUUGCCAAAAAAAACUUCACCAAAUUUCAUGUUAUGUGUCAUUAAGUGCCGGCAUCUUUAAUACAGUUCAGUUAAGGUGUGAUGAUUGAGUAAAGGAAUACAACCCCUUCUCUAUUUCUUUAUCAAACUACAUUUGUUGUGUCCUUAUAACCAAGAACAUGAAGAGCCUGGCAGUACACUGAAAUCAACAGUGGAUACUUACAGUACAUUGUCUGCAAAUAAUCUGCCUUAAGAAAAAUAAACUAAAAACUGGAGAUUUUAGAAGAGAUUUCUAUCAAUAGGAAUAGAGCGUUUGAAGUUGGGGACCAUGUUUUGUUAAUUGAUGUAAGAAAAAGAAAGGAAGGGUGAUAUCUUGAUUACCAAUUAAAUGUAGCUAGAAAGUUAAAAAUCACAUGAAUUAAUGCUGACAGAAGUUCAAAGAUUAUUAUAUAAUCUUGUGUGAGUUAACUUAAAUAUAUAGCUUAAUUAAUUCUAUCAUUUUUUCAACAUUUAAUUUUCAAAGGUGUAGUGCAGGAGGUGGAUGUAUGUGUCCUGCCAUCCAGAGAGAACCAGUCAAGACAAUAAAGAGUGGGGGAGAGGGAGAGAGAGAGAGAAACCAGCUGCACAUGUGUGUAGUUGUGAUGUUUAUGACACACGUACAUUGUAACUGAACAACCCAGUCUGACAAUUUAAUGUUUAUUUUGUUAAGAUAAAUAUUUAGGAUUUCUUGAAAUUCCACAAUUGAAAUACAAAUGAUGUUAUUUAGAGAAGUUAAACUUCACUAUAGAU